rnacentral:rRNA from 1 species
GUGGGGAAUCUUGCGCAAUGGGGGCAACCCUGACGCAGCUACGCCGUGUGGGUGAUGAAGGCCUUCGGGUUGUAAAGCCCUGUCGGCAGGGGCGAUGGUUUGAUCGGAUAACACCCGGUCAAGCUGACGGUACCUGCAAAGGAAGCACCGGCUAACUCUGUGCCAGCAGCCGCGGUAAGACAGAGGGUGCAAGCGUUGUUCGGAAUCAUUGGGCGUAAAGCGCACGUAGGCGGCUUUGUAAGUCAGGUGUGAAAUCCCUGGGCUCAACCCAGGAAGUGCACCUGAUACUGCAAGGCUGGAGUCCCGGAGAGGGUGGUGGAAUUCCUGGUGUAGAGGUGAAAUUCGUAGAUAUCAGGAGGAACACCGGUGGCGAAGGCGACCACCUGGACGGAGACUGACGCUGAGGUGCGAAAGCGUGGGUAGCAAACAGGAUUAGAAACCCCUGUAGUCC